rnacentral:lncRNA from 12 species
CUUUUCUAUUUAAAUUUGGGGAGGGGGGGAGGUGGAAAGUUGCCGGUGCGCGGCUGAAGUUGUGAAGUUGUGCCGAAGCAGGGUUUGAGGGGGGAUAACAAAAAAAAAAAAAAAAAAAAAAAAAAAAAAAAGGGGGGGGGGGGGGGAAAAAAAAAAGAGGAAAGGAAAAUGGGGUUGGAAGAAAUAAGGGGUGGGAUUAAAAGCGGGGAGGCAGCACCUCGGUUUUGGGGGGGUCGGGGGAAGGAGGGGUGAGAAGUCAGCGGGGCCGCCCGCCCCCGGGGUGGAAUCGGCGUGGAAAUUAAAAGUCGGGGUGACUCGCGGCUUCGCUCGGCUCUGUCCCCGCAGAACUCGGCGCUGUCCCCAGGGCGGGGGACACGGUGACCCCGGGAUGUCCCUGCGGCCGGGCAGGGGGCUCCGCCAGCCCGGGCCAGCCGCCCCCCCGGCGGGGGGGAGCCCCGAAAGGGGGGGGGGGGGGGGCGCCCCCCCGGCGGGGGGGAGCCCCGAAAUCUAACGCUGCCGCCCGGGAUGGAGAUGGAGAGGCACGAGGGGCUCCUCAGGGAGACAGGUUCGGCGGGCGACGCGGUUGAUGGACCCAGCAGAAGCCAAAUGGAAGAAGGGCCAAUUAAUUAUGUGGAAGAAAGGCGGCUGAACGAGGGCAGCGGGCUGAGCCUGGUGAAUGGGGGCCGGCCGGAGGCGGGGGGUCCCGUGCUGAUGGAGCCCAGCGGGUGGUCGCCGGGCCAGCCGCCCGGGGGGGGGGGGGGGGGGGGGGGGGGGGGGGGGGGGGGGGGGGGGGGGGGGGGGGGGGGGGGGGGGGGGGG